ensembl:lncRNA
UGUGUGAGAGAGAGAGACUGAAAAGUAUGGAUUUUAUUUAAUUUAUUUUUUUAUAAGUAAAAACUGUCGCAAUUAAAUUGCCUGUAUACACAGUAUGGUGGCUCUCUGAUCUCUUUUUUUUUGGCCUUCAUGUUUUUCAAUCAUUACACUGUAGUUCAAGAAAGUGAUUUCUUUUUUGUCUCUUUCUGCAAAUCAAACAUUCUUCUAAUUAGAUCUUUUUUUCUGUAUACAAUUGAUGUCUUUAUGCAGUACAGUAGUCUAACAUUUUCUUAAUGUAAGGGUUAGUAAACUAAGAAUUCCAUUACAUACUUAAAUUAGAAUGAAGAAAAUAACAUACACUUAAAUGCUCCAAGCAAAACCUCACAUGACUAUACAGUAAUUGUAAAAAGCAGCAUGGUGAGAUUUCAGCCUGUGCUGACUUAUGGACAUAUCUUUAAUGUAUUAAUUAUCCUAUAAGAAUAGUUCAUUACUGUUCACAUAAGGACCACAACAGCUUGUUGUACAGUAUUGGCUCAACUGAGAGAUGAAGCUCAAAGUAGGAAGAUCACAGACAGCUUUUAUAUAGAGCUCAAUGUUUUGUGCUACAUCAAUGAUUUUUUUAUUGUUGUUGUUUUGUUAGUAUCGUAAAGCCAAGCUAAACAUUUUAUCGAGGCGACAUAAAUAUCACUGCCAUGGAUAAACAUAACUUGACAUACAUCAGGUACAUAUUUUUAAUGUGACAAUGGCAAGAAAAAGAUUCCUGGUAACCUCAAGUGCUGACAGGAAAAAGAAAACGUCUUCACCAGGAAAUGUGUUCCACGAUCCUAGAACAGGGAUCAUGUCAAAAUGCGUUGUUUUUAGCCAACAGCAAAUUAUGUAAAGUAAAACUGGCUUUACCAAUUCUCAGUAUUAUUUUUAAAAUAAAUGUCUGUAUCUUUUGAAAAGUUUCCAUUACAGAGUUUCUGUUAAAAACGCUUUAACAGUGACAACACAAACUGUCGAGUAUCCAUACUUAAUUCAAACUAAGAAGUUCAGUUAAAUUAGUGGCAGAACAAAGAUAACAACAAUUCAACUGGAUAUAAAAACAGCACACACUGAGUUUAUCGUUACAAUAAGUAACAUUAAAUAAAUACAAAAAGGAUCAAAAGUAAAAAUAAUAUUUUUAUAGGCUUUUAAAUUCUGUUUCUGAGUCUGGUUCUGACAGAGGUUACUUCCUGUUAAUAGGGUGUUUUUCCUUCCCACUGUCGCCAUGUGCUUGCUCACAGGAAGGUGAAUAAUUUAGGGGGUUUUGACUCUAGCACUGCAGGACCUUUACUAAACAAACUGUAGUUUAGUAAAGGUCCUGUUCUACCCUUAUACAUUAUAUUAUUAAUAUUCCUACUUGAAUUUUGUUUUUUUGUUAAGCUACUAUGAAAAACCUGUUUAAAAAUGCCAAAAGUAUCCAUUAUUGAAAUUCUCAUCAAAUUGCCUCAUUGGUGACAUCUGCAGUGUAGAUGGGGCAGGGCAGUCUGUGUGAGUGUGCCACAUUACUCAAUACAGCUAAUAUCAUCAAAUAUGUGUACUGUGUAAUUCUUCCACAGAGAGAACUCAUAACAAACUUAAUAUUUCAAUACUUUCAAGUAUCAUGCUCACUGUUGUGCAAUGAAAUGGCCCCCUAUGAGCAAGCACUUUGCAAAGGUGAGAAAGAAAAACUCCCGUUUAACAGGAAGAAACCUUCAACAAAACUAAGCUUAGCAAUCUGCUGACCUAAAAAGAGACGAGUGUAGAAGACAUGCUCAUGAAGUCUCACAGUAGUCUGGUCCUAUAGCAGCGUAACUGAGUGAUGGUUCAGUGUCAGCUGAUCCAGCUUUAACUAUGAGCUUAUCAAAAGUAAAGUUUUGAGUCUAAUUACAACUGGAGAGGAUGUGCGUCUCUUGAAGUGGAAGCUGGUUCUACAGCUGAAGAGCCUAAUAGCUUA